rnacentral:sRNA from 1 species
UACUUUACUAAGUGGGUCGAAGCGGAGGCCUACCACGAAUUGAAAUCCCUGCAGGUUGUCGCGUUUAUAUGGAAAAUAUCAUAUGUCGACACGGUCUUCCCUAUGAGAUCUUAACGGAUAACAGAUCGGUUCGUCUCGCUUAUCAUAAGGCAGUUCCUCACCAAGUGGAAUAUACGCCUUAGCAAUUCAACGCCGAGGUAUCUGAUAUAUCCCUAUUUUCACUGAUUUUAUCUAGGUCUUAGGGUUAGGAUUUUGAGUCUUUAUGUUAUUUCUCGAGUCUUUUUAGUGUCUUUUCAGGUAUCCUAUGCAUUGGGACAACAAUGGAGAUGAGGAGACAUUUUGGAGCAAAA